AACAUCGCGCACCUGCGGGAACCUGCGGAGGGAUCAUCAUUGAAUAACUUUUUCCCAAGCUUUUUAGGGGGAGGGGAAGGGGGGGAGGUUCUUCUCCCUUUUUCCCUUUUUCUGGCUUGGCAAACAACUUUAAUACCCAAAAAGAAUUUCAUCUUCGGCUUCAGCUUUUCAGCUUAUUUUAUUAGGCUGAUGACUGGAAAUGGAGAGGAAAAGGAAAGGGGGAAACCCUGGACCGGAAAU
rnacentral:misc_RNA from 1 species